UACGUAGGUGGCGAGCGUUGUCCGGAAUUAUUGGGCGUAAAGAGCUUGUAGGCGGUUUGUCGCGUCUGCUGUGAAAUUCCAGGGCUUAACCCUGGGCUUGCAGUGGGUACGGGCAGACUAGAGUGUGGUAGGGGAGACUGGAAUUCCUGGUGUAGCGGUGAAAUGCGCAGAUAUCAGGAGGAACACCGGUGGCGAAGGCGGUUCUCUGGGCCUUACCUGACGCUGAGGAGCGAAAGCGUGGGGAGCGAACAGG
rnacentral:rRNA from 1 species